UUAGGGCCCGAGCGUAGCUGCUAAGCAGCUGCGAGAGCCCUCUUGUUCCUGUAGUUUCCUUCUUUUGUUAUUAUUAUUAGGGCCCGAGCGUAGCUGCUAAGCAGCUGCGAGAGCCCUCUUGUUCCUGUAGUUUCCUUCUUUUGUUAUUAUUAUUAUUAUUAUUAUUUUUCCUCCCCUUUGAACUGGAAAAUGGCCCACUUCCCACUGGCGAAAACUCAUGAAAUUUGGCAGGACGACCGGGCCUGGUGAAAAAUUUGAUAUUCCGAAGUCGCCCAAACAAGAAAAUGCAAAAUGGCUCCAUAGCGCCCCCUAAGGUGAAAAUUCACACUAUUGACUGUCACGCCUGUACGCUUUGUCAAAAUGACACAAAAAUUGACACACACAUGUAUCUCAAUAAGAUCUACAAAAAAGUCAGUGCGGGCGUAUCUGUCAAAUGUACGGUUAAAGGGUUAUUUCGCAUUUUUUGCCGAUCCGCACACAUUGGAAUUUCGCUAACUCCUCCGAAGGCUUUCGUUCCACCGGCACCACAUUUGCUCAGGCCAAUCUACACCCCAUGGCCAUUAAAAGUUAUUCAAAUCAUGACGCUGCACCCCACGGUUUAGGUUCUAGGGGGCGCCAAAGAUAACCCUAAGAUCCACAUAUUUCAAAGUCUUAUAACUUUUUAUUUUUGCCCUCACUGGCCUCCAAGUUUUCUAGGAUGAUGCAAUGUCCAGCCAUCAACACAUUUGUGAAGGAAUUUUUACUCCCCAAAAGAGCGCCCCCCCAUGGCAGGAGAAAAAAGUCCAUUUUUUCUUGUCCCCUAAGGUGAAAAUACACAUUGUUGAGUGUAACACCUGUACGCUUUGGCAAAAUGACACAAAAAUUGACACACACAUGUAUCUCAAUAAGAUCUACGAAAAAGUCAAUGCGCGCGUAUCUGUCAAAUGUACGGUUAAAGGGUUAUUCCGCAUUUUUUGCCGAUCCGCACACAUUGGAAUUUCGCUAACUCCUCCGAAGGCUUUCAUUCCACCGGUACCACAUUUGCUCAGGCCAAUCUACACCCCAUGGCCAUUAAAAGUUAUUCAAAUCAUGACGCUGCAUCCCACGGUUUAGGUUCUAGGGGGCGCCAAAGAUAACCCUAAAAUCCACAUAUUUAAAAGUCUUAUAACUUUUUAUUUUUGUCCUCACUGGCCUCCAAGUUUUCUAGGAUGAUGCAAUGUCCAGCCAUCAACACAUUUGUGAAGGAAUUUUUACUCCCCAAAAGAGCGCCCCCCCAUGGCAGGAAAAAAAAGCCAAUUUUUUCUUGUCCCCUAAGGUGGAAAUUCACACUAUUGACUGUCACGCCUGUACGCUUUAUCAUAUUGACACAAAAAUUGACACACAUAUGUAUCUCAAUAAGAUCUACAAAAGAGUCGAUUCGCGCGUAUCUGUCAAAUGUACGGUUAAAGGGCUAUUUUGCAUUUUUUGCCGAUUCGCACACAUUGGAAUGUGGCUAACUCCUCCUAAGGCUUUCGUCCCACUGACACCAAAUUUGCUCAGGCCAAUCUACACCCCAUGGCCAUUCAAAGUUGUAAAAAUCAUGACGCUGCACCCCACGGUUUACGUUCUAGGGGGCGCCAAAGAUGACCCAAAAAUCCACAUUCUUCAAAGAAUCCACAUCCCCCCCCCCCCCCCAUAUGGCAGGAGAAAAAGUUAAGUUUUUCCUGCCCAUCGCUCAAUGGCUCAAUCGCAUCGCUCUCCAGGCAACACCGUAAGGAGGAGCAACCUGCCAUUUCGAUAUAUCAUAGCUGUGUUUGUGCCCUCACUCAUGGUCCAGACUUUUUUCAAAUAGGACAUGAAGUUUGUCUGCAGCGAGUGUUUUGGUAGAAACUGCGCCUCCCAUUCAUUAUAAUAGGAAAUGACCACAGACAAGUGCGCACACCAUCUUUGGAUCUUGAGUGUGACGCGAUCGGGAGGGGGAGGCGGUCGCACUGGGGGCGGCGCGACACGGCUCGGGCCCGACAGUGCCCCAACGGGGUCCUAGUUAUUAUUUUUCCUCCCCUUUGAACUGGAAAAUGGCCCACUUCCCACUGGCGAAAACUCAUGAAAUUUGGCAGGACGACCGGGCCUGGUGAAAAAUUUGAUAUUCCGAAGUCGCCCAAACAAGAAAAUGCAAAAUGGCUCCAUAGCACCCCCUAAGGUGAAAAUUCACACUAUUCACUGUCACGCCGGUACGCUUUGUCAAAAUGACACAAAAAUUGACACACACAUGUAUCUCAAUAAGAUCUACAAAAAAGUCAGUGCAGGCGUAUCUGUCAAAUGUACGGUUAAAGGGUUAUUGCGCAUUUUUUGCCGAUCCGCACACAUUGGAAUUUCGCUAACUCCUCCGAAGGCUUUCGUUCCACCGGCACCACAUUUGCUCAGGCCAAUCUACACCCCAUGGCCAUUAAAAGUUAUUCAAAUCAUGACGCUGCACCCCACGGUUUAGGUUCUAGGGGGCGCCAAAGAUAACCCUAAAAUCCACAUAUUUCAAAGUCUUAUAACUUUUUAUUUUUGCCCUCACUGGCCUCCAAGUUUUCUAGGAUGAUGCAAUGUCCAGCCAUCAACACAUUUGUGAAGGAAUUUUUACUCCCCAAAAGAGCGCCCCCCCAUGGCAGGAGAAAAAAGUCCAUUUUUUCUUGUCCCAUAAGGUGAAAAUUCACACUAUUGACUGUCACGCCUGUACGCUUUGGCAAAAUGACACAAAAAUUGACACACACAUGUAUCUCAAUAAGAUCUACGAAAAAGUCAAUGCGCGCGUAUCUGUCAAAUGUACGGUUAAAGGGUUAUUGCGCAUUUUUUGCCGAUCCGCACACAUUGGAAUUUCGCUAACUCCUCCGAAGGCUUUCGUUCCACCGGCACCACAUUUGCUCAGGCCAAUCUACACCCCAUGGCCAUUAAAAGUUAUUCAAAUCAUGACGCUGCACCCCACGGUUUAGGUUCUAGGGGGAGCCAAAGAUAACCGUAAAAUCCACAUAUUUAAAAGUCUUAUAACUUUUUAUUUUUGUCCCCACUGGCCUCCAAGUUUUCUAGGAUGAUGCAAUGUCCAGCCAUCAACACAUUUGUGAAGGAAUUUUUACUCGCCAAAAGAGCGCCCCCCCAUGGCAGGAGAAAAAAGUCCAUUUUUUCUUGUCCACUAAGGUGAAAAUACACAUUGUUGAGUGCUACGCCUGUAUGUUUUGUCGUAUUGACACAAAAUUUUACAUACACGUGUAUUUACAUAAGAUCUUCGAAAAAGUCAAUGGCCACGUAUCUGUAAAAUGUACGGUUAAAGGGUUAUUUCGCAUUUUUUGCAGAUUCGCACACAUUGGAAUUUCGCUAAUUCCUCCGAAGGCUUUCGUUCCACCGGCACCACAUUU
rnacentral:lncRNA from 1 species